rnacentral:rRNA from 1 species
CCUACGGGUGGCAGCAGUGAGGAAUAUUGGUCAAUGGACGAGAGUCUGAACCAGCCAAGUAGCGUGAAGGAUGACUGCCCUAUGGGUUGUAAACCUCUUUUAUAUGGGAAUAAAAUGUUCCACGUGUGGGAUUUUGUAUGUACCAUAUGAAUAAGGAUCGGCUAACUCCGUGCCAGCAGCCGCGGUAAUACGGAGGAUCCGAGCGUUAUCCGGAUUUAUUGGGUUUAAAGGGAGCGUAGGGGGAUUGUUAAGGCAGUUGUGAAAGUUUGCGGCUCAACCGUAAAAUUGCAGUUGAAACUGGCAGUCUUGAGUACAGUAGAGGUGGGCGGAAUGCGUGGUGUAGCGGUGAAAUGCUUAGAUAUCACGAAGAACUCCGAUUGCGAAGGCAGCUCACUGGACUGCAACUGACGCUGAGGCUCGAAAGUGUGGGUAUCGAACAGGAGUAGAUACCCUAGUAGUC